GAGAAUCUGGCAGACCUCACAAAGGGACACAAGCAGGGCAUAAGACAUGUACUCAGGUGAAGAGUGGCUAUAAAGCAUGUACAGUUCAGUCACAUAUAGACCUUGUAAGGAGGUGGGAUGUGUUUAGUGAAGAGGCACUGCCUGGGGAUUUCAGCUAUUAAACUCUGGCAAGUCUUUAUGAGGGUGAGUGGUAGGUUAUCUCUUCAUUACAUGGUGCUUGAUUCUGGAACAAGAGGAAUUAGCCUUAAACAUCAUCCCAGAGACUGAAGCAUAUGGGGUUUAACAGCUACACUAGGAACAACACAUCCAUACUGCACAUAUGGCACAAUGAUGUGAGCAGCACAGAGCUAGGACACCAUCAAGGAAGAUGAAGAGCGGUUUCAUUUAAUCAUGAACACAUAAAGACAUGAACAGCAGGACUGCAAUAUAAAAUGUUUGGGUAAAAACUUCUGUGGGAAGGCUGUAUCUUUGCUAGUCCUCACUACAUUAAACAGAGAAUGAGGAGAAAAAACACUGCUGGGCUUUCUGUGGAUGCUGACCUCUUGCUCUUGAAUGACUGGAGAAAAAACUCCAGUUUUUUCUGAAAGAGAAUGCAAAGCAAGAUCAUCUCUGAACACUGUUACAACUGCUGCUUUACUUAAAUGCUGAAUUCAGGCCUGCAGUUUUGCAAUGUGCAACUUGUUCUCCCACAGUAACAUUUGCAAACAAGAAGGCUUGAUGCCAUUUACUUGAUGGGAGACCAUGUUUGGGAGAAUGAAUGUUUUUGAAUAGGAAAUAGGCAAGAAAAUUCCUCUAGCUUCAGAACAGAGUCAGAAAGAAGUGAUAUAGAUUUUUCUGCAGAAACAGAAGGUGCUUUGCAAAAAACAGAACACCUAAUUUCCAGACCUACUGCUAAUCUAUUGAGCAGGCUUAGGGAAGUCGUGCAGUGUGGAAUUUCAGCUGAUUCUGCUCUCUUGUCCUAUGCAAGAGCAAGAUCUUCAAAUGAAGCCAUUCAAAGCUUAUUUCAAAUGGAAUAAAAAAUGGUCAUUCAUUAUCCAGUGAAAGUUCGUGUGCGUAAGGGAAGACUGAACAAAUUAAUAGAAGAGAAAUUCCUUCUGAAUGCAUACAAAUGCUCAGGCUGAAGAUACUUACUGACAGUGAAAGAUGAAACUUGUUUUACAUUCAUCUGAGCAACAGAAAGAUGUGUGUCUGCAGUGGGAGUAGGGAGGAACUGGGACAAAAAGUGUUGCUCUACCCCCCUCUAAGGGCCUGAGAAAUCAAAUUCUUAUGCUUUGGUGGAGCACAACAAUCCUCACUGGCACCUCCACAGUUUGUGGAACAGGUUAGUUGCAAAGAGGGUUAAAGCACAGCACUGGAAGUGAUCCAGUGCAUACAAAUAUCCCCCAUACUCUCUCAUACUUCUCAGUCAAUAUGUUCUUUUCCAAUCUAGAUAAUUCUAUGUUUCUAUGUGAAUUUUUGAAUGAAUUUUCUUUGGGAAUUGUGCUACAUUUGUUAAUAGGCCACAUAAAAUAGAAAUAGAUCACAUCUGCUGUAAAAUUCUCAUAAUGAGUAAGUCUUAUGUAUGCUUAAGAUGUCUGAUUUUGAAUGUGACUAAUUAUGCUCCCUGUCUCAGGUUGUAAUUCUAUAAGG